rnacentral:lncRNA from 1 species
GAGCUCUUCAGCAACGAGAGCCUGGAAGACGGCCAGCGUAUCGGUACUAAAGCGGUGCUGGCCCCAACACAGCUCGCUGGGCCGGACGUGGAUGGCAAAUGGCUGACAGCCGGAUACACAAGCAGCCCCCUUCUUGGUGAGCUUCGGAGGAUGCAGGUGGACAGAAUCAAGGUUUCAGGAAAUAUGUUGAGCACGUAAUAUGUGCUAAGUAUAACGUUACAUGCUAGAGGUUCAAAGGAUGUUAGGACAGCUCUGAACCAUUGUAUCAAAGGCAUCCAUUGCACCCCAUGAGGAUAGGCCUGAAAGCUACCACCUGCCCUUCUACUCCCUCCUUGUAGAGGAGAAAGGUAGCUGAGGAUUCCUGAGCCCCACAAGGAGGAUUCAGACAUCCUGAAGGGACCACUAGACCGGAAGAGGCCCGGGUUGGGUCAGGGUUGGCCAAUGUGUAGACUGUGGACUUGCAGCCUGAAUUGCCAACCAUCAGCAGUGGGAUGGUGUCACAGUGCCCACAAACUAAGAAGGAGGAGUCCCGCCCCAACUGAGGUCAGCACAGAACAGGGAGAGCACGCAGAGCUCAGCAGCUUUUGAGUCAGAGCAUCAUUUACCAACCUCCAAUGCCUCUGUGGUUAUGGCUGGAACCUCUGAUCACAUAAUUUUGCAAGAGAAUAAAUUAUGACACCAGAGUCUUUUGGUUUGAUUUCUAAUUAAGCAAAAAGGCCCUUAAUAACGAACGCUCUCAUCAGUUUAUGUGAGUGGCAAAUGUCAGGGAGCACCUUGGGAUUUCAGCUUUCUUCUUUCCCGUCAUCACGGAACGUGUCACUCCUCUGACUUAUACCUUUCUGUCCACAGUAUCUUUCUUCAAGAG